rnacentral:lncRNA from 1 species
UGGGGUGCUAGCUCUCUUAUAAAGAAUACUUCUUUGAUGGUUAAACAGGAUCUUCUUCAAUCUCUAAGACUUUCUCAAGGAGAAAGAAGACAAGAUGUAGGAGGAAGAAGAAAACUAGUAGAGAGAAAAUCCUUUUCUCUUUUUUUUUCUCUCUAAAGCUCAUGCCCCAAGUUGAUCCACGCCCAAUUGUUCACACUCCAGGUAGGUUUUUAGAUGCACUCCUACAUCCAUAAGCCCCCUUAUUUAUAGAUGGCAUCC